AGAUGAGCCUGUUAACCCAAAGGUUUAUGAGAUUAUAGGAAAAACCUUGCCGUUGUUUUUCCUUUUCAGCCUGAUCGUGUUCUUUGCAUGGAGGAGGAGAACAUCUAGACUCUCCAAUGGGUUUGAAAUGACAGACCGUUCAUAGGGACAGAACUCCCCGGUUGGGACGGUGUUCUCUAACCAGGCCACGGUCGGGAGAGGGGACAAGGAACCACCACUUAAC